rnacentral:lncRNA from 1 species
GGAAAGGGAAAAAGAGUUUCAACCAAUCAAUUUCAAACACCGAUCAAAGCAAAAAAACAUCAAAAAACACCCAACCAAAGCACCUCAGAAACAACAUUAGGUUGAAUUGUACAUGGUAAUUCCUUUCCUGGGCCCUCUCUUCAGCCAUAAAGCAAAGCUCCCUCAUCCAUUGAGAACAGGUGUUGGUCAAGCAAGGAGUGUGAUAACACAUUUUCUUGUAUGGUAUCCAUUGCUGCCCAUCUCAAAACUCAGAUAUCCUGCAAACAAAACCAAGAUUAAAUAACACCACAGAUACAUUACAACAGUGAGUGUGCUAGCUACAAAACGACAUAGAAAAAACUCAAAACAACCAAGAAAAAAAGAAGCAAAACGACAUAUUAAUUUGUUAAAAAAAACAUUGACAAUUAAUGGGAGUAUUGGGAAAGUUUUCGGCAAUUAAUUGAAAUAAUUAUUCAGCAAAAACGUUACACAAAUACAUAAUAUCAAUCAAAGAAAACAUACAUUUUUGCUCUGGUUUCAAGUAACCGGCCCCGACGCACGAACCCGGAAUUUGUGAGGAAGAGUCACAGAAAAACGCUCGAUUCCACCGUUCCCACACGUUUUCGAGGCAAUUCCGGCUGCUUCCACCGAAUUACGAUUCCGGCG